AUUGAACGCUGGCGGCAUGCCUUACACAUGCAAGUCGAACGGUAACAGGUCUUCGGAUGCUGACGAGUGGCGAACGGGUGAGUAAUACAUCGGAACGUGCCCGAUCGUGGGGGAUAACGAAGCGAAAGCUUUGCUAAUACCGCAUACGAUCUACGGAUGAAAGCAGGGGACCGCAAGGCCUUGCGCGAACGGAGCGGCCGAUGGCAGAUUAGGUAGUUGGUGGGAUAAAAGCUUACCAAGCCGACGAUCUGUAGCUGGUCUGAGAGGACGACCAGCCACACUGGGACUGAGACACGGCCCAGACUCCUACGGAAGGCAGCAGUGGGGAAUUUUGGACAAUGGGCGAAAGCCUGAUCCAGCCAUGCCGCGUGCAGGAUGAAGGCCUUCGGGUUGUAAACUGCUUUUGUACGGAACGAAAAGACUCUGGUUAAUACCUGGGGUCCAUGACGGUACCGUAAGAAUAAGCACCGGCUAACUACGUGCCAGCAGCCGCGGUAAGAC
rnacentral:rRNA from 1 species